rnacentral:rRNA from 1 species
UACGAAGGGGGCUAGCGUUGCUCGGAAUCACUGGGCGUAAAGCGCACGUAGGCGGGUCUUUAAGUCAGGGGUGAAAUCCUGGAGCUCAACUCCAGAACUGCCUUUGAUACUGAGGAUCUCGAGUCCGGGAGAGGUGAGUGGAACUCCGAGUGUAGAGGUGAAAUUCGUAGAUAUUCGGAAGAACACCAGUGGCGAAGGCGGCUCACUGGCCCGGUACUGACGCUGAGGCGCGAAAGCUAGGGGAGCGAACGGG